GGGGAUUUAGCUCAUAAGCACCUGCCUUGCAAGCAGGCGGUCGUGAGUUCAGUCCCCA
rnacentral:tRNA from 1 species